rnacentral:rRNA from 1 species
UACGUAGGGUGCGAGCGUUAAUCGGAAUUACUGGGCGUAAAGCGUGCGCAGGCGGUUUUGUAAGCCAGAUGUGAAAUCCCCGGGCUUAACCUGGGAAUGGCAUUUGGGACUGCAAGGCUGGAGUGCGGCAGAGGAGACUGGAAUUCCCGGUGUAGCAGUGAAAUGCGUAGAGAUCGGAAAGAACACCAACGGCGAAAGCACUCUGCUGGGCCGACACUGACACUGAGAGACGAAAGCUAGGGGAGCGAAUGGG